rnacentral:rRNA from 1 species
GAUGAACGCUGGCGGCGUGCCUAAUACAUGCAAGUCGAGCGAACGGACGAGAAGCUUGCUUCUCUGAUGUUAGCGGCGGACGGGUGAGUAACACGUGGAUAACCUACCUAUAAGACUGGGAUAACUUCGGGAAACCGGAGCUAAUACCGGAUGAUAUUUUGAACCGCAUGGUUCAAAGGUGAAAGACGGUCUUGCUGUCACUUAUAGAUGGAUCCGCGCUGCAUUAGCUAGUUGGUAAGGUAACGGCUUACCAAGGCAACGAUGCAUAGCCGACCUGAGAGGGUGAUCGGCCACACUGGAACUGAGACACGGUCCAGACUCCUACGGGAGGCAGCAGUAGGGAAUCUUCCGCAAUGGGCGAAAGCCUGACGGAGCAACGCCGCGUGAGUGAUGAAGGUCUUCGGAUCGUAAAACUCUGUUAUUAGGGAAGAACAUAUGUGUAAGUAACUGUGCACAUCUUGACGGUACCUAAUCAGAAAGCCACGGCUAACUACGUGCCAGCAGCCGCGGUAAUACGUAGGUGGCAAGCGUUAUCCGGAAUUAUUGGGCGUAAAGCGCGCGUAGGCGGUUUUUUAAGUCUGAUGUGAAAGCCCACGGCUCAACCGUGGAGGGUCAUUGGAAACUGGAAAACUUGAGUGCAGAAGAGGAAAGUGGAAUUCCAUGUGUAGCGGUGAAAUGCGCAGAGAUAUGGAGGAACACCAGUGGCGAAGGCGACUUUCUGGUCUGUAACUGACGCUGAUGUGCGAAAGCGUGGGGAUCAAACAGGAUUAGAUACCCUGGUAGUCCACGCCGUAAACGAUGAGUGCUAAGUGUUAGGGGGUUUCCGCCCCUUAGUGCUGCAGCUAACGCAUUAAGCACUCCGCCUGGGGAGUACGACCGCAAGGUUGAAACUCAAAGGAAUUGACGGGGACCCGCACAAGCGGUGGAGCAUGUGGUUUAAUUCGAAGCAACGCGAAGAACCUUACCAAAUCUUGACAUCCUUUGACAACUCUAGAGAUAGAGCCUUCCCCUUCGGGGGACAAAGUGACAGGUGGUGCAUGGUUGUCGUCAGCUCGUGUCGUGAGAUGUUGGGUUAAGUCCCGCAACGAGCGCAACCCUUAAGCUUAGCUGCCAUCAUUAAGUUGGGCACUCUAAGUUGACUGCCGGUGACAAACCGGAGGAAGGUGGGGAUGACGUCAAAUCAUCAUGCCCCUUAUGAUUUGGGCUACACACGUGCUACAAUGGACAAUACAAAGGGCAGCGAAACCGCGAGGUCAAGCAAAUCCCAUAAAGUUGUUCUCAGUUCGGAUUGUAGUCUGCAACUCGACUACAUGAAGCUGGAAUCGCUAGUAAUCGUAGAUCAGCAUGCUACGGUGAAUACGUUCCCGGGUCU